AUUGAACGCUAGCGGGAUGCUUUACACAUGCAAGUCGAACGAGUGGCGGACGGGUGAGUAAUAUAUAGGAACGUGCCCAGUAGCGGGGGAUAACUACGCGGAAGAGUGGCUAAUACCGCAUACUAUUUGAGCGGCCGAUAUCGGAUUAGCGAGUUGGUGGGGUAAAGGCUCACCAAGGCAACGAGCCGUAGCUGGUUUGAGAGGACGACCAGCACAACUGGGAGUGAGACAAGGCCCAGACUCAUACGGGAGGCAGCAGUGGGGAAUGUUGUACAAUGGGGGCAACCCUGCUCCAGCCAUCCCGCGUGUAUGAGAAGGCCUUCGGGUUGUAAAGUACUUUUGGCAGAGAAGCGGUAUCUGCAGAAUAAGCACCGGCUAACUACGUGCCAGCAGCCGCGGUAAUUC
rnacentral:rRNA from 1 species